rnacentral:rRNA from 1 species
UACGGAAGGCAGCAGUGGGGAAUAUUGCACAAUGGGCGCAAGCCUGAUGCAGCCAUGCCGCGUGUAUGAAGAAGGCCUUCGGGUUGUAAAGUACUUUCAGUCGUGAGGAAGGUGUUAAGGUUAAUAACCUUAGCAAUUGACGUUAGCGACAGAAGAAGCACCGGCUAACUCCGUGCCAGCAGCCGCGGUAAUACGGAGGGUGCGAGCGUUAAUCGGAAUUACUGGGCUAAAGGGCACGCAGGCGGUUAAUUAAGUUGGAUGUGAAUCCCCGGGCUUAACCUGGGAAUGGCAUUCAAGACUGGUUAGCUAGAGUCUUGUAGAGGGGGUUAGAAUUCCAUGUGUAGCGGUGAAAUGCGUAGAGAUGUGGAGGAAUACCGGUGGCGAAGGCGGCCCCUGGACAAAGGACUGACGCUCAUGUGCGAAAGCUGGGGAGCAAACAGGGAUUAGAUACC